GUCUGCUUGAAGAUAUAAGCAGUCUAGCCUGCUCACUGAUAAAAUUAUUUAAGAGCCGCGGUAUAUUGACCGUGCAAAGGUAGCAUAAUCAUUAGAGGUUUAAUUGGAAUCUGGUAUGAAUGGUUGGACAAAGGAAAGACUGUCUUUAUAAUAAAAUUUGAAAUUUACAUUUAAGUGAAAAGGCUUAAAUAAUUUAAGGGGACGAUAAGACCCUAUAAAGCUUUAUAAAAAUUUAAAUUUAUCUGAGUUAAAAAAUAAAAGGUAAGUUUAAUUAUUUUAUUUUGUUGGGGUGAUGUGAGCAUAAUUAUAGUUAACUGCUUAAGAAGAGUUCUAUAUAAAAGAAUUAUAAAUUUAUGAUCCUUUUUAAAGAUUGAAAGACUAAGUUACUUUAGGGGUAACAGCGUUAUUUCUUUUGAGAGUUCAUAUCGAAAAAGAAGAUUGCGACCUCGAUGUUGAAUUAAAAUGUCUAUAUGAUGCAGCCGUUAUAAAAGAGGGUCUGUUCGACCUUUAAAUUUUU
rnacentral:rRNA from 1 species